rnacentral:rRNA from 1 species
GACGAACGCUGGCGGCGUGCUUAACACAUGCAAGUCGAACGGAAAGGCCCUGCUUGCAGGGUACUCGAGUGGCGAACGGGUGAGUAACACGUGGGUGAUCUGCCCUGCACUUCGGGAUAAGCCUGGGAAACUGGGUCUAAUACCGGAUAGGAGCCAUUUUUAGUGUGAUGGUUGGAAAGUUUUUUCGGUGUAGGAUGAGCUCGCGGCCUAUCAGCUUGUUGGUGGGGUAAUGGGCUACCAAGGCGGCGACGGGUAGCCGGCCUGAGAGGGUGGACGGCCACAUUGGGACUGAGAUACGGCCCAGACUCCUACGGGAGGCAGCAGUGGGGAAUAUUGCACAAUGGGCGCAAGCCUGAUGCAGCGACGCCGCGUGGGGGAUGACGGCCUUCGGGUUGUAAACUCCUUUCGCUAGGGACGAAGCUUUUUGUGACGGUACCUAGAUAAGAAGCACCGGCUAACUACGUG